rnacentral:rRNA from 1 species
CUCUGUUGUAAGGGAAGAACAUUCAGGAUAGGAAAUGAUCUUGAACUGACGGUACCUUACCAGAAAGCCACGGCUAACUACGUGCCAGCAGCCGCGGUAAUACGUAGGUGGCAAGCGUUAUCCGGAAUUAUUGGGCGUAAAGGGUGCGUAGGCGGUUUAUUAAGUCUAUGGUGAAAGUGCGGGGCUCAACCCCGUAUGGCCAUAGAAACUGGUAGACUUGAGUGCAGGAGAGGGCAAUGGAAUUCCAUGUGUAGCGGUAAAAUGCGUAGAUAUAUGGAGGAACACCAGUGGCGAAGGCGGUUGCCUGGCCUGUAACUGACGCUGAAGCACGAAAGCGUGGGGAGCAAAUAGGAUUAGAUACCCUAGUAGUCCACGCCGUAAACGAUGAAUACUAAGUGUUGGAGAAAUUCAGUGCUGCAGUUAACGCAAUAAGUAUUCCGCCUGGGGAGUAUGCACGCAAGUGUGAAACUCAAA